rnacentral:rRNA from 1 species
UACAGAGGGUGCGAGCGUUAAUCGGAAUUACUGGGCGUAAAGCGUGCGCAGGCGGUUCGUUAAGUUCGUUGUGAAAGCCCCGGGCUCAACCUGGGAACUGCAAUGGAAACUGGCGGGCUUGAAUGCGGCAGAGGGGGGUGGAAUUCCGCGUGUAGCAGUGAAAUGCGUAGAGAUGCGGAGGAACACCGAUGGCGAAGGCAGCCCCCCUGGGCCUGCACUGACGCUCAUGCACGAAAGCGUGGGGAGCAAACAGG